UCUCUUUUCUCCCCGACGCCGCCCGAGCCAUCUCCUCCUCUCUGCCCUAACCGCCGGCCGGCGGUUCCUCCUCCCCGAGUGCACAAAACCCCUCGGCCACUUCUUAUUCUUGCUUCUUCUCGCCACUGCCGAAGCUUCUUCUUCUUCCUUGACUCUGAAUUGGCGCCGACUCCUCCUCCCCUUUGGGCUCGCGACGCCGCCGACCUAUCUCCUUUCUUCUUACCACCGGCCAAAGCCCGAGCAGUGCCGAUCAAGCCGCCGACCUCCUCUGUGCCGCGACGCUACUGCCUCCUCUUCUCCGAGCCUGAUCUCUGCCUAUCGACGCUGAGUUGUGCCCUAGCGCCGGCUGCCACCAUCACUGUGCCUGCCGACGCCGCUGUCUUUCGACCUCAGCGUCGACCUCCUCCACUUGACCGUGCCCUAGCUCCGAACCAAGUCUUCUUCCUCAGUUUUUCUAGUUGUUAUCGCCAGUGUAACUCUAGCCAGUAUUCAACAGCCGCUGGGACCAAUCGUCGAAGAAGGAACUGUUGAUUUGAGGAAACACAGGGUUCCCGGCAGCAACUUCGCUGUGACUUAGGCAACAAAUUUCCAGCAUCAAUAGGGGGCUUCAGAUUAAGGACUGUGACGCGAGACGAGUAUCUCGGAGUCAGAUUUGGACUUUUCUUAUCGGAG